GGAAUUCAGGGGGAAAGCUCCAGAUCCAUGGAAUGAGGUGGGAGAAAGAAGGGGAAGGAGGUUUUGGAGGGAUAGGGUUCCCAGUUCCAUAGGGAUGGGAUCCCUGGGGUUCCCUGGGGAUGGGAUCCCUGGUUCCAGAGGAAUGGGUUCUGUAGGGAUGGAUCCCCAGUUCCCUGGGGAUGGGAUCCCUGGGGUUCCAUAGGGGAUUGGGUUCCCAGAGGUUCCCUGGGGAUGGGAUCCGGGAGGAUCCCCCUGGAUAGGAUCCCCUGGUUCUGGAGGGAUGUGAUUCCCUGGGGAUGGGAUCCCCCGAGUUCCUUGGGGAUGGGAUUCCCUAGGGAUGGGAUCCGGGAGGAUCCCCCUGGAUAGGAUCCCCUGGUUCUGGAGGGAUGGGAUUCCCUGGGGAUGGGAUCCCUGGGGUUCCCUGGGGAUGGAAUUCCCUGGGGAUGGGAUCCCUGAGGUUCUAUGGGGAUGGAAUUCCCUGGGGAUGGGAUCCCUGGGGUUCUAUGGGGAUGGAAUUCCCUGAGGAUGGGAUCCCUGGGGUUCCCUGGGAUGGAAUUCCCUGGGGAUGGGAUCCCUGGGGUUCUAUGGGGAUGGGAUUCCCUGGGGAUGGGAUCCCGGGGUUCCCUGAGAUGGGAUUCCCUGGGGAUGGAAUUCCCGGGGGAUGGAAUUCCCUGGGGACGGGAUCCCUGGGGUUCCCUGGGAUGGAAUUCCCGGGGGAUGGAAUUCCCGGGGGAUGGGAUCCCUGAGGUUCUAUGGGGAUGGAAUUCCCUAGG
rnacentral:lncRNA from 1 species